rnacentral:lncRNA from 1 species
GGAGGGGCGUGGCCUAGGUCGGUGGGGCGGGGCCUCAGUCUUGACGGAGCUAGGGGUCCAUGAGCACCCGGAGCCGCAGAGGCAGGACAAAAGUUGUGAGUAUCCAAAGCUCGGGCAGCUGGCAGCAGUGGAGCCGCCGGGGCGACGACCACCAUGCGGAGACCGGCGCGACCUUUUGAGACGCAGCUGGACCCGCCCAGUUCGGCGCCCGGGUCAUUCCAGGGUCUGGGGCAGCGGCGGGGGCCGCGGGCGGAUGGCGUGAACCCAACCGCUGCAGGAUGCCCUCCAAACACAGGGCCCCGGGGCUGUGCGCUGCUGAGCCGAGCCAUAGAAGACCAAGAAGGCCACUGACAUCAUAGACAGAUUGCUCUUACUGUGAACUCUCUUCCUGUGACAUGUCACAUCCUCAGAGCAGAGGUCGCCCUCCUGGAAGAAACCAAUGUUUUGUGAGGCAUUCAAAUUCACAAUCCAGAGUUCUUUCUAUGAAGGAAGAAGAGAUGAGGGAGAGAGAGAGUGAAGAUGCCCAUGCAGCCUCAGGUCCUAAGAGCAUCAUCCAACAAGAUGAACAGGAUCCGCCCCUCCAACGCCUUCCUGGGACAGUCCAGCAGGACAGCAGGUGUGUGAGGUGCCUGCAUCAGUAACACCUUUCAUGUAACUGAACCAAGUUCACUUGCCUGACAUGCAGCAAGCCAAGGGCUGAGACACCCAUGUGUUGCAGCAGAGAGAAGGUUUAUUCACAAGGCAUUCACGCAAGGAGGCAGAUCACAAAUUCGCAUCCCAGAAGGUGAGAGGCUCGGGAUAUUUACGGGGAUAAAGAAGCAGGGUGGUCUGAGGCUCAGGGAAUGUGUGCAAAGGUGACUGGAGGUAAGAAAAAGGUCAAGUAGGGAGUUCCUGUUGUGGCUCAGCUCAUCAGGAACUCAACAUAGGGUCCACGAGGAUAUGGGUUUGAUCCCUGGGUUUGAUCCUUGUGGGUUAAGGAUCUGGCAUUGCCAUAAGCUCUGCUGUAGCCUGCAGAUGUAGCUCGGAUCUGGUGUGUUGCCAAGGCUGUGAUGUAGGCCUCAGCUGCAGCUCCGAUUUGACCCCUAGCCUGGGAACCUCCAUAUGCUGCAGGUGUGGCAUAAAGAGAAGGAAAAAAAAAGAAGACAAGAAAAAAAAUGGUAAAGCAAUAGUUUUUCCGUGAAGUCACAACUAAGCUACAGGCUUCUUCAUGGGAGGCAUGUUCAGAAGAUGAGGGCCUAAUCAUGCUCAGAGGAGGGGUUGUGGGUCUCUAAAGUCCAAAGAUCACUGAGGGACAGAGCUGCCUUUAAGUUCUUGAAAAAUAAUUGGGGCGAACUUCUUGUCAUUUAGGAUAAUGGAUGCUUGGAGGACAUGCAAGUUUUUGUGAAAACAAAGCGAGCUUGAUCAGUGAAGGCAGGUUACAACUCAUUAUUUAUUGAGCAAGUUAUUAAGAUUUAAUGGGAGUUCCCCUAGUGGCUCAGUGGUAAUGAACCCAACUAGUAUCCAUGAGGACUCGGGUUCAAUCCCUGGCUUGCUCAGUGGAUUAAGGAUCCAGCAUUGCCAUGAGCUGUGGUGUAGGUUAUAGGCAUGGCUUAGAUCUGGUGUUUCUGUGGCUGUGGCUACAGCUCUGAUUUGACCCCUAGC